rnacentral:rRNA from 1 species
GACGAACGCUGGCGGUGUGCUUAACACAUGCAAGUCGAACGGUAAGGCCCUUUCGGGGGUACACGAGUGGCGAACGGGUGAGUAACACGUGAGUAACCUGCCCUCAUCUCUGGGAUAACAGUCGGAAACGGUUGCUAAUACUGGAUAUGAGCUUGCAAGGCAUCUUGUGGGUUGGAAAGAUUUUUUUGGUUGGGGAUGGACUCGCGGCCUAUCAGCUUGUUGGUGAGGUAGUGGCUCACCAAGGCUUCGACGGGUAGCCGGCCUGAGAGGGCGACCGGCCACAUUGGGACUGAGAUACGGCCCAAACUCCUACGGGAGGCAGCAGUGGGGAAUAUUGCACAAUGGACGGAAGUCUGAUGCAGCAACGCCGCGUGCGGGAUGACGGCCUUCGGGUUGUAAACCGCUUUCAAUUGUGACGAAGCUUUUUGUGACGGUAGCAGUAGAAGAAGCACCGGCUAACUGCGUG